rnacentral:rRNA from 1 species
GACGAACGCUGGCGGCGUGCUUAACACCUGCAAGUCGAACGGUAAGGCCCUUGGGGGUACACGAGUGGCGAACGGGUGAGUAACACGUGGGUGAUCUGCCCUGCACUUCGGGAUAAGCCUGGGAAACUGGGUCUAAUACCGGAUAGGACCCUGGGAUGCAUGUCCUGGGGUGGAAAGCUUUUGCGGUGUGGGAUGGGCCCGCGGCCUAUCAGCUUGUUGGUGGGGUGAUGGCCUACCAAGGCGACGACGGGUAGCCGGCCUGAGAGGGUGACCGGCCACACUGGGGCUGGGAUACGGCCCAGACUCCUACGGGAGGCAGCAGUGGGGAAUAUUGCACAAUGGGCGCAAGCCUGAUGCAGCGACGCCGCGUGAGGGAUGACGGCCUUCGGGUUGUAAACCUCUUUCAGCACCGACGAAGCGCAAGUGACGGUAGGUGCAGAAGAAGGACCGGCCAACUACGUGCCAGCCGCCGCCGUAAUAC